rnacentral:rRNA from 1 species
GACGUAGGGCGCGAGCGUUGUCCGGAAUUAUUGGGCGUAAAGAGCUCGUAGGCGGCUCGGUAAGUCGGGUGUGAAACCUCCAGGCUCAACCUGGAGACGCCACCUGAUACUGCUGUGGCUAGAGUCCGGUAGGGGAGCGUGGAAUUCCUGGUGUAGCGGUGAAAUGCGCAGAUAUCAGGAGGAACACCAGCGGCGAAGGCGGCGCUCUGGGCCGGAACUGACGCUGAGGAGCGAAAGCGUGGGUAGCAAACAGG